rnacentral:rRNA from 1 species
UACGGAGGGUGCGAGCGUUGUCCGGAAUCACUGGGCGUAAAGGCGCGUAGGCGGCCCGCGCAAGCGUGCGGUGAAAGCCCGGGGCUCAACCCCGGGUCGGCCGUGCGGACUGCGGGGCUCGAGCACUGUAGAGGCAGGUGGAAUUCCGGGUGUAGCGGUGGAAUGCGUAGAGAUCCGGAAGAACACCGGUGGCGAAGGCGGCCUGCUGGGCAGUAGCUGACACUGAGGCGCGACAGCGUGAGGAGCAAACAGG